UGGAGCUCACAUGCCCGAUCUUGAAGCGCAAUUACGCAGCAGGUGUAAAGGCAGCACAGCCUGCCCCAGGCACCGCGGGCUGGCAAACCUUGCCACGGGGAGAAGAGCAUCAGGUAACAACAAAUUAUCACAUGUCACCUUCACCUGCCCCACCAGGAGGAAGGGACAGUGAGCUGGGAAUGCUGGGGAUCUUUGGGAUAAGUUUGAUCCCUGUGAACACCACCACAGAUUGGUUGUCCUGAACUCAUGGGAGAUGUAGCAGAAAUUUAGGAUGGUCAAAAGCCACAAGAACUGACAAAAUUCUUCAGCUGAAACAUCUGAGGAACGACAUCUCAUCAAAGAUGGACGUUUCCAUGGAAAUAUGUUUCGGAUGAAAUUUUUUUGAGUCUUUCACAGAUAAAAUAUAAAUAACUGGUUGGACAAGUUUUCAAUAAAUCAAAAUAGAAACUUUUUGCUGGAGAAACUGAAA